rnacentral:rRNA from 1 species
GUCGCUACUACCGAUUGAACGUUUUAGUGAGGUAUUUGGAUUGGACCUUUGGAGGAUUUUUCUUCCAUUGUUGUUUGAGAAGACUCCCAAACUUGAGCGUUUAGAGGAAGUAA